UUCCUCUUCUUUUUUUUUUUUCUUUUUUUUUUUUUUUUUUUUUUUCAAGCGUAAACUCCUUAUUUAAAUAAUACUAAAUAGACGACGAAAAAUGGUU
rnacentral:ribozyme from 14 species